AUGGUACGUACAGUUACUUGGAUAACUGUGGCAAUUCUAGAGCUAAUACAUGCAAAUAGAGUUCCGACCGCUGUCGCAGGCGGAAGGAAUGCUUUUAUUAGAUCAAAACCAAUCGGACUUUUCCCCAUAAGCGGGGGAUCGUCCGUUACGUCUUGGUGACUCUGAAUAACUUUGAGCUGAUCGCACGGUCCCGCACCGGCGACGCAUCUUUCAAAUGUCUGACUUAUCAACUUUCGAUGGUAGGCUCUGCGCCUACCAUGGUCGUAACGGGUAACGGGGAAUCAGGGUUCGAUUCCGGAGAGGGAGCCUGAGAAACGGCUACCACAUCCAAGGAAGGCA
rnacentral:rRNA from 1 species